GAUGAACGCUGGCGGCGUGCCUAAUACAUGCAAGUCGAGCGAACGGACGAGAAGCUUGCUUCUCUGAUGUUAGCGGCGGACGGGUGAGUAACACGUGGAUAACCUACCUAUAAGACUGGGAUAACUUCGGGAAACCGUAGCUAAUACCGGAUAAUAUUUUGAACCGCAUGGUUCAAAAGUGAAAGACGGUCUUGCUGUCACUUAUAGAUGGAUCCGCUCUGCAUUAGCUAGUUGGUAAGGUAACGGCUUACCAAGGCAACGAUGCAUAGCCGACCUGAGAGGGUGAUCGGCCACACUGGAACUGCGACACGGUCCAGACUCCUACGGUAGGCAGCAGUAGGGAAUCUUCCGCAAUGGGCGAAAGCCUGACGGAGCAACGCCGCGUGAGUGAUGAAGGUCUUCGGAUCGUAAAACUCUGUUAUUAGGGAAGAACAUAUGUGUAAGUAACUGUGCACAUCUUGACGGUACCUAAUCAGAAAGCCACGGCUAACUACGUG
rnacentral:rRNA from 1 species